GAGCGGCCGACGGGUGAGUAAUACUUAGGAAUCUACCUAGUAGUGGGGGAUAGUUCGGGGAAACUCGAAUUAAUACCGCAUACGACCUUCGGGAGAAAGGGGGCUACUUGUUGCUCUCGCUAUUACAUGAGCCUAAGUCGGAUUAUCUAGAUGGUGGGGUAAAGGCCUACCAUGGCGACGAUCUGUAGCUGGUCUGAGAGGAUGAUCAGCCACACCGGGACUGAGACACGGCCCGGACUCCUACGGGAGGCAGCAGUGGGGAAUAUUGGACAAUGGGGGCAACCCUGAUCCAGCCAUGCCGCGUGUGUGAAGAAAGCCUUUUGGUUGUAAAGCACUUUAAACAGUGAAGAAGACUCUAUGGCUAAUACCCAUAGACGAUGACAUUAGCUGCACAAUAAGCACCGGCUAACUCUGUGCCACCAGCCGCGGUAAUUCAGAGGGUGCAAGCGUUAAUCAAAAUUACUGGGCGUAAAGCGAGCGUAGGUGGCUUGAUAAGUCAGAUGUGAAAUCCCCGGGCUUAACCUGGGAACUGCAUCUGAUACUGUUAGGCUAGAGUAGGUGAGAGGGAGGUAGAAUUUCAGGUGUAGCGGUGAAA
rnacentral:rRNA from 1 species